ensembl:snoRNA SNORD116 Small nucleolar RNA SNORD116
AGAUCAAUGAUAAUUCCCUAAAAACCAUUCCAUGGAAAAACUGAACAAAAUGAGUGAAAACUCAUUCCCAUCUCCGCUCAUCGGUGACUGGGGUCC